AACACUGUUAACCUGCGGUACCUGCGGAAGGAUCAUUACAGAGUUGCAAAACUCCCUAAACCAUUGUGAACGUUACCUAAACCGUUGCUUCGGCGGGCGGCCCGGGUCCUUCCCGGCGCCCAUCGGCCCUCGCGGGCGCCCGCCGGAGGUAAACCAAACUAUUGCAUUGUAUGGCCUCUCUGAGUCUUCCGUACUGAAUAAGUCAAAACUUUCAACAAUGGAUCUCAGAUCGGAAGAGCA
rnacentral:misc_RNA from 1 species